CUUUUACUUUAACAUGGAGGUGCUUUCUGUGACUUGAACCAAGUAAGUGCUUCCAUGUUUUAGUAGAGG
rnacentral:pre_miRNA from 1 species